ensembl:snoRNA
GGCCUCCUGGUGCUUACCCCAGGCUGUGUUUUUACACUGACUGUAUAGAAAGAGAAGGCAGAGCAAAUCUGCCCCAUAUACACCCAAGCCCAGGCCACUGUGCCUGGUCUGUAUUGUGAAUGGGGAGACAUGG